rnacentral:RNase_P_RNA from 1 species
GUCAGAGGGAAGCUCUUCAGUGAGGCCACAUGCUAGGUGCUUGUCACCAUCCCCUCAAGCCUCUAGGAAGGUCUGAGAGAAGAGCCAGUGGUUGCCCUUGCAGGGUAUUACCUGAUCCAGGUGGAUGGGCUACCAGACAGGUGUGAGCCUUGAGUUGGGGAAACCCUGGGUUGGCACAAGAUGCAGGAGGAGACUGCUUUUCCUGUGGAUGCUUAUCCCCUGCCCAGGACUUGGAACAGGCUCAUGGCUAGCAGUGCUGAGUGCAAUGGGAUGAGGUGAGGUGACUGCCUUGCCUGUGCAGGCCUCACAACCCAAUUCAGACUACUCUCCCUCUGAC